rnacentral:rRNA from 1 species
AGCAGCCGCGGUAAUUCCAGCUCCAAUAGCGUAUAUUAAAGUUGUUGCAGUUAAAAAGCUCGUAGUUGAAUUUCGGGGUUUGUCCAUUGGUCGGGCUUUAUUGUCCGUACUGGUGUGAUGAAUUCCUACCUUCUGAAUAACCUUCAUGCCAUUAAUUUGGUGCGUUGGGGAAGCAGAGCUGUUACCUUGAAAAAAUUAGAGUGCUUAAAGCAGGCAAGUGCCUGAAUACAUUAGCAUGGAAUAAUGAAAUAGGACGGCAUGGUUCUAUUUUGUUGGUUUCUAGGAUCACCGUAAUGAUUAAUAGGGAUAGUUGGGGGCAUUAGUAUUCAAUUGUCAGAGGUGAAAUUCUUGGAUUUAUUGAAGACUAACUUCUGCGAAAGCAUUUGCCAAGGAUGUUUUCAUUAAUCAAGAACGAAAGUUAGGGGAUCGAAGACGAUCAGAUACCGUCGUAGUCUUAACCAUAAACUAUGCCGACUAGGGAUCGGACGAUGUUAAUUUUUUAAUGACUCG